CUGGGGUUGAAGCUCAGUGGUAGAGCGCUUGCCUCGCAUGCGUGAGGCCGUGGGUUCAAUCCUCAGCACCAUAUA
rnacentral:tRNA from 1 species